rnacentral:misc_RNA from 1 species
UCCCCGUUGGCCGGGGCAGUCCCGUGUGAAAAAUUCAACACACGGCAAGGGUUGCGCUCGUUGCCGGACUUAACCGAACAUCUCACGACACGAGCUGACGACGGCCAUGCAGCACCUGUCACCAGGUUCCCGAAGGCACAGCCCUAUUUCUAGGGCCUUCCUGGGAUGUCAAGCCUCGGUAAGGUUCUUCGCGUAGCUUCGAAUUAAACCACAUGCUCCACUGCUUGUGCGAGACCCCGUCUAUUCCUUUGAGUUUUAGCCUUGCGGCCGUACUCCCCAGGCGGGAUGCUUAACGCGUUAGCUUCUCAGCCGAAAGGGUCGAUACUUCCAACUAAUAGCAUCCAUCGUUUACGGCGUGGACUAC